ACUUAGUGACCGAUAGCGCAUAGUACUGUGAAGGAAAGGUGAAAAGGACCCCGGGAGGGGAGUGAAAGAGAACCUGAAACCCUGUGUCUACAAGCUGUGGAAGUGCUUUAUAUGCACAACCGCGUACUUUUUGUAGAACGGUCCGGCGAGUUACGCUUACUGGCAAGGUUAAGUCCUCAAGGGAUGGAGCCGAAGGGAAACCAAGUCUUAACAGGGCCAGAGUCAGUAGGAGUAGACCCGAAACCGGGUGAUCUAUCCAUGUCCAGGUUGAAGCUGCCGUAAGAGGUAGUGGAGGACCGAACCCACAUCCGUUGAAAAGGGUGGGGAUGAGGUGUGGAUAGGGGAGAAAUUCCAAUCGAACCCGGAGAUAGCUGGUUCUCCUCGAAAUAGCUUUAGGGCUAGCCUCGGUGUGAGUCUUGCGGAGGUAGAGCACUGAAUUUCCUAGGGGGCGUCAAAGCCUACCGAAGAAUAUCAAACUCCGAAUGCCGUGUAGAUAUCACCGGGAGUCAGACUGCACGAGAUAAGUUGGGCGGUCAAAAGGGAAAGAGCCCAGACCUACAGUUAAGGUCCCAAAGUGCGCGUUAAGUGGAAAAGGAUGUGGGAUUUCGAAGACAACCAGGAUGUUGGCUCAGAAGCAGCCAUACAUUCAAAGAGUGCGUAAUAGCUCACUGGUCGAGAGGUCCUGCGCCGAAAAUGUCCGGGGCUGAAACGCGCCACCGAAACUAAGGAAUCCGUAAGGAUUGGUAGAGGAGCAUUGCAUGCGGGAAGAAGCAGUACCGUAAGGAGCUGUGGACUGCAUGGAAGAGAGAAUGCCGGAAUGAGUAGCGAGAUAGAGGUGGGAAUCCUCUAGGCCGAAUAUCCAAGGUUUCCAGGGUAAAGCUGAUCUGCCCUGGGUGAGUCGGGACCUAAGGUGAGGGCGAGAGCCGUAGCCGAUGGACAACAGGUUGAUAUUCCUGUACUGCAGUAUAACAGAACUGUGGGGACACGUAAGGAGAGCGGGAGCCGGGGAUGGAUUGUCCCGGUACAAGCGAGGUACCAGUAUGGUAGGAAAAUCCGCCAUGCAAUGGGAAGACGUGAUGUGGAGCGAAAUAUAGUAGCGAAGCCCGUGAGCCAUGCGUCAAGAAAAGCCGCUAUUGUUUAUAUUGUACCCGUACCGUAAACCGACACAGGUGGAUGAGGAGAGAAUCCUAAGGCCGGCGGAAGAAGUAUUGCCAAGGAACUCGGCAAAAUGGCCCCGUAACUUAGGGAGAAGGGGUGCCUGCGAGAGCAGGCCGCAGAGAAUAGGCUCAAGCAACUGUUUAGCAAAAACACAGGUCUAUGCGAAACCGAAAGGUGAGGUAUAUGGGCUGACGCCUGCCCGGUGCUGGAAGGUUAAGAGGAGAGGUCAGACGCAAGUCGAAGCUUUGAAUUUAAGCCCCAGUAAACGGCGGCCGUAACUAUAACGGUCCUAAGGUAGCGAAAUUCCUUGUCGGGUAAGUUCCGACCCGCACGAAAGGCGUAAUGAUUUGAGCGCUGUCUCGGCAAUACAUCCGGUGAAAUUGAAGUGCCAGUGAAGAUGCUGGCUACCCGCGCCAGGACGGAAAGACCCCAUGGAGCUUUACUCCAGUUUGGCACUGGGGUCCGGUGUUGCAUGUACAGGAUAGGUGGGAGGCUGAGAAACGGUAACGUCAGUUGCCGCGGAGCCGCUGUUGGGAUACCACCCUUGUGAUAUUGGGCUUCUAACCAGCCGCCGUGAUCCGGCGGUGGGACAAUGCCAGGCGGGGAGUUUGACUGGGGCGGUCGCCUCCGAAAGGGUAUCGGAGGCGCCCAAAGGUUCCCUCAGAAUGGACGGAAACCAUUCGAAGAGUGCAAAGGCAGAAGGGAGCUUGACUGCGACACCGACGGGUGGAGCAGGUACGAAAGUAGGGCUUAGUGAUCCGGUGGUAUUAAGUGGGAAUGCCAUCGCUCAACGGAUAAAAGCUACCCUGGGGAUAACAGGCUUAUCACUCCCAAGAGUUCACAUCGACGGAGUGGUUUGGCACCUCGAUGUCGGCUCAUCGCAUCCUGGGGCUGUAGUAGGUCCCAAGGGUUGGGCUGUUCGCCCAUUAAAGCGGUACGCGAGCUGGGUUCAGAACGUCGUGAGACAGUUCGGUCCCUAUCCGGCGUGGGCGCAGGAUAUCUGAGAGGAGCUGUCCUUAGUACGAGAGGACCGGGAUGGACGGACCGCUGGUGGACCGGUUGGCUUGCCAAAGCCAUGGCCGGGUAGCCAAGUCCGGAAGGGAUAAACGCUGAAGGCAUCUAAGCGUGAAGCCCCCCUCAAGAUGAGAUAUCCCAU
rnacentral:rRNA from 1 species